rnacentral:rRNA from 1 species
UACGGGGGGGGCAAGCGUUGUUCGGAAUUACUGGGCGUAAAGGGCUCGUAGGCGGCCCACUAAGUCGGAUGUGAAAUCCCCAGGCUUAACCUGGGAACUGCAUCCGAUACUGGAUGGCUUGAAUCCGGGAGAGGGAUGCAGAAUUCCAGGUGUAGCGGUGAAAUGCGUAGAUAUCUGGAGGAAUACCGGUGGCGAAGGCGGCAUCCUGGACCGGCAUUGACGCUGAUGAGCGAAAGCCAGGGGAGCAAACGGG